rnacentral:misc_RNA from 1 species
AGCAACUCAAAAAGAGUCAAUCUUAGUCUAUAACAACAAAUCAAAGACUGAAAUAACAGCAUACAAUUUGGGAUAAAAUUUUCAAAUAAAGCAAAAAGGUUGGGCUGGGUAAAAACCUGAAGGGUUUAAAACUAGAUCACUAGCAUAAAAGCAAAUGCAAUUCAAAUUAGUAUUUAAUCUGGAAGGGGAAAAACAAGAUGGGAUUUGUCACUGCAAGCCAGACUGACGAUGGGAUCAUACUCAUAACCCAUAUCCUAUAAAGAGUCAUAAUAAAUAAAUAAAAUAAUCAAAU